UUAUUUGCGCAGUGGCAGUAUCGUAGCCAAUGAGGUUUAUCCGAGGCGCGAUUAUUGCUAAUUGACUACUGUUAUUUAAACUACUGGGGGAGAGGGGAAAGAUCCCCUUGGUUCAGUUCAAUGACUACUUGAAGU